UGGCUCAGGAUGAACGCCGGCGGUGUGCCUAAUACAUGCAAGUCGUACGCACUGGCCCAACUGAUUGAUGGUGCUUGCACCUGAUUGACGAUGGAUCACCAGUGAGUGGCGGACGGGUGAGUAACACGUAGGUAACCUGCCCCGGAGCGGGGGAUAACAUUUGGAAACAGAUGCUAAUACCGCAUAACAACAAAAGCCACAUGGCUUUUGUUUGAAAGAUGGCUUUGGCUAUCACUCUGGGAUGGACCUGCGGUGCAUUAGCUAGUUGGUAAGGUAACGGCUUACCAAGGCGAUGAUGCAUAGCCGAGUUGAGAGACUGAUCGGCCACAAUGGAACUGAGACACGGUCCAUACUCCUACGGGAGGCAGCAGUAGGGAAUCUUCCACAAUGGGCGCAAGCCUGAUGGAGCAACACCGCGUGAGUGAAGAAGGGUUUCGACUCGUAAAGCUCUGUUGUUGGAGAAGAACGUGCGUGAGAGUAACUGUUCACGCAGUGACGGUAUCCAACCAGAAAGUCACGGCUAACUACGUGCCAGCAGCCGCGGUAAUACGUAGGUGGCAAGCGUUAUCCGGAUUUAUUGGGCGUAAAGCGAGCGCAGGCGGUUGCUUAGGUCUGAUGUGAAAGCCUUCGGCUUAACCGAAGAAGUGCAUCGGAAACCGGGCGACUUGAGUGCAGAAGAGGACAGUGGAACUCCAUGUGUAGCGGUGGAAUGCGUAGAUAUAUGGAAGAACACCAGUGGCGAAGGCGGCUGUCUGGUCUGCAACUGACGCUGAGGCUCGAAAGCAUGGGUAGCGAACAGGAUUAGAUACCCUGGUAGUCCAUGCCGUAAACGAUGAGUGCUAGGUGUUGGAGGGUUUCCGCCCUUCAGUGCCGGAGCUAACGCAUUAAGCACUCCGCCUGGGGAGUACGACCGCAAGGUUGAAACUCAAAGGAAUUGACGGGGGCCCGCACAAGCGGUGGAGCAUGUGGUUUAAUUCGAAGCUACGCGAAGAACCUUACCAGGUCUUGACAUCUUGCGCUAACCUUAGAGAUAAGGCGUUCCCUUCGGGGACGCAAUGACAGGUGGUGCAUGGUCGUCGUCAGCUCGUGUCGUGAGAUGUUGGGUUAAGUCCCGCAACGAGCGCAACCCUUAUUACUAGUUGCCAGCAUUAAGUUGGGCACUCUAGUGAGACUGCCGGUGACAAACCGGAGGAAGGUGGGGACGACGUCAGAUCAUCAUGCCCCUUAUGACCUGGGCUACACACGUGCUACAAUGGACGGUACAACGAGUUGCAAACUCGCGAGAGCAAGCUAAUCUCUUAAAGCCGUUCUCAGUUCGGACUGUAGGCUGCAACUCGCCUACACGAAGUCGGAAUCGCUAGUAAUCGCGGAUCAGCAUGCCGCGGUGAAUACGUUCCCGGGCCUUGUACACACCGCCCGUCACACCAUGGGAGUUUGUAACGCCCAAAGUCGGUGGCCUAACCUUUAUGGAGGGAGCCGCCUAAGGCGGGACAGAUGACUGGGGUGAAGUCGUAACUAGGUAACC
rnacentral:rRNA from 1 species